CCGUGAGCGGGUCUAUCUGCAGUCGAACGAAGCUUUCUUUCCCGAAUGCUUGCAUUCACCGAAAGAAGCUUAGUGGCGAACGGGUGAGUAACACGUAGGCAACCUGCCCAAAAGAGGGGGAUAACACUUGGAAACAGGUGCUAAUACCGCAUAACCAUGAACAUCGCAUGAUGUUCAUGUAAAAGACGGCUUUUGCUGUCACUUUUGGAUGGGCCUGCGGCGUAUUAACUUGUUGGUGGGGUAACGGCCUACCAAGGUGAUGAUACGUAGCCGAACUGAGAGGUUGAUCGGCCACAUUGGGACUGAGACACGGCCCAAACUCCUACGGGAGGCAGCAGUAGGGAAUCUUCCACAAUGGACGAAAGUCUGAUGGAGCAACGCCGCGUGAAUGAAGAAGGCCUUCGGGUCGUAAAAUUCUGUUGUCAGAGAAGAACAUGCGUGAGAGUAACUGUUCACGUAUUGACGGUAUCUGACCAGAAAGCCACGGCUAACUACGUGCCAGCAGCCGCGGUAAUACGUAGGUGGCGAGCGUUGUCCGGAUUUAUUGGGCGUAAAGGGAACGCAGGCGGUCUUUUAAGUCUGAUGUGAAAGCCUUCGGCUUAACCGAAGUAGUGCAUUGGAAACUGGAAGACUUGAGUGCAGAAGAGGAGAGUGGAACUCCAUGUGUAGCGGUGAAAUGCGUAGAUAUAUGGAAGAACACCAGUGGCGAAAGCGGCUCUCUGGUCUGUAACUGACGCUGAGGUUCGAAAGCGUGGGUAGCAAACAGGAUUAGAUACCCUGGGUAGUCCAAAA
rnacentral:rRNA from 2 species